rnacentral:rRNA from 1 species
UGGGGAAUAUUGCACAAUGGGCGAAAGCCUGAUGCAGCAACGCCGCGUGAGUGAUGAAGGCCUUCGGGUUGUAAAGCUCUGUCUUUUGGGACGAUAAUGACGGUACCAAAGGAGGAAGCCACGGCUAACUACGUGCCAGCAGCCGCGGUAAUACGUAGGUGGCAAGCGUUGUCCGGAUUUACUGGGCGUAAAGGAUGCGUAGGCGGAUUUUUAAGUGAGAUGUGAAAUACCCGGGCUUAACUUGGGUGCUGCAUUUCAAACUGGGAAUCUAGAGUGCGGGAGAGGAGAAUGGAAUUCCUAGUGUAGCGGUGAAAUGCGUAGAGAUUAGGAAGAACACCAGUGGCGAAGGCGAUUCUCUGGACCGUAACUGACGCUGAGGCAUGAAAAGCGUGGGUAGCAAACAGGAUUAGAUACCCUGGUAGUCCACGCCGUAAACGAUGAGUACUAGGUGUAGGAGGUAUCGACCCCUUCUGUGCCGCAGUUAACACAAUAAGUACUCCGCCUGGGAAGUACGAUCGCAAGAUUAAAACUUAAAUGAAUUGAC